UAAACCAAGGUUAAUAUCAAUCGAAGGGUUUGAAAUUCAGUGACAACUUGCAUCUGGAGCACCAAUGUCACAUGAGUUGUGUACUGCUAUAUUUCGGAGGCUUGCCCAACUGGAUCAGUCUUGCUCCAAGGACACGCCCGGUAACAUCUGGAGGAAGUACAUAGAGCCUGACUUUGCUACAACUGUUUUGUCAAACGCCGAUCCAUUGACUGUUCAAUCUAUCCGCACGGGUUUCCAAGAAGGAACAGGUGUUUGCAACCCGGCUUCGUGCAUAAUGGUACGACACAAAUUUUCAUCAGCUGGCCCAUGGCAUUUUUUGAAGAUUGAACAUAAGUAACCAAAUUUUUAUUGUGCAGUGGUUUAUCCCAGCUAUACUCCCAGACGGAUGGGCUGUCUACCUGUUUGAUAUGAUGCGGAAAUGCAUCAUCGUGUUAGACCCAACAGUUGGACCUUUUGGUUAUAGCAAUCGGCGGGUCAGCAUGCAUGAGUUUGUAAGCAACAAACUUCAUGCUGCCCUGUUUAACUGUCUACAUAAUUUCUUCAGCUCUUGGCAUUGCGACUCCACUAACUGGGGUCGCACAUUUCCUAUCAUAAUGCGGGAAAAAAAUAAACAAAGAUGAAACUGGCUUGGGGGCUACGUUCUUUGCAAGGAAUUACGAUGGUGACAGGCUACAAAUCCCAUUGACCAAAGUAAAUAUUUGCCCACGACACGGAAGCCAUGUACUCCUUUUCAAUUAUCUGUGCUAAUACAUUUCUGCUCCUUCCAGGAUACAUUGGAAUCACACGGCAACCUCAUGCUUUACGAGCUGAUGCGGAUGCAAGGGAACCAAACAAAGGCGGCACACGAUUCACUCGAAGCAAUCAAAGGAACG